UAAUACAGAGGUCCCAAGCGUUGUUCGGAUUCACUGGGCGUAAAGGGUGCGUAGGCGGCCGGGUAAGUCUGUUGUGAAAUCUCCGAGCUCAACUCGGAAACUGCAAUGGAUACUAUCCGGCUCGAGGAAUGGAGGGGAGACUGGAAUACUUGGUGUAGCAGUGAAAUGCGUAGAUAUCAAGUGGAACACCAGUGGCGAAGGCGAGUCUCUGGACAUUUCCUGACGCUGAGGCACGAAAGCCAGGGGAGCAAACGGG
rnacentral:rRNA from 1 species